rnacentral:rRNA from 1 species
ACCAGCUUGCUGGUGUGGAUGAGUGGCGAACGGGUGAGUAAUACGUGAGUAACCUGCCCUUGACUCUGGGAUAAGCCCGGGAAACUGGGUCUAAUACUGGAUGCUACAUGUCACCGCAUGGUGGUGUGUGGAAAGGGUUUACUGGUCUUGGAUGGGCUCACGGCCUAUCAGCUUGUUGGUGAGGUAAUGGCUCACCAAGGCGACGACGGGUAGCCGGCCUGAGAGGGUGACCGGCCACACUGGGACUGAGACACGGCCCAGACUCCUACGGGAGGCAGCAGUGGGGAAUAUUGCACAAUGGGCGAAAGCCUGAUGCAGCGACGCCGCGUGAGGGAUGACGGCCUUCGGGUUGUAAACCUCUUUCAGCAGGGAAGAAGCCACAAGUGACGGUACCUGCAGAAGAAGCGCCGGCUAACUACGUGCCAGCAGCCGCGGUAAUACGUAGGGCGCAAGCGUUGUCCGGAAUUAUUGGGCGUAAAGAGCUCGUAGGCGGUUUGUCGCGUCUGCUGUGAAAGCCCGGGGCUUAACCCCGGGUGUGCAGUGGGUACGGGCAGACUAGAGUGCAGUAGGGGAGACUGGAAUUCCUGGUGUA